AGGCCGAAAGGCGUAGUCGAUGGGAAACAGGUUAAUAUUCCUGUACUUGGUGUUACUGCGAAGGGGGGACGGAGAAGGCUAUGUUAGCCGGGCGACGGUUGUCCCGGUUUAAGCAUGUAGGCUGGUUGUCCAGGCAAAUCCGGAUAAUCAAGGCUGAGGUGUGAUGACGAGGCACUACGGUGCUGAAGUAACAAAUGCCCUGCUUCCAGGAAAAGCCUCUAAGCAUCAGGUAACAUUAAAUCGUACCCCAAA
rnacentral:rRNA from 1 species